rnacentral:rRNA from 1 species
AAUUUUGCGCAAUGGGGGAAACCCUGACGCAGCAACGCCGCGUGAAUGUUAAGCCCUUCGGGGUGUAAAGUUCUGUCAGUGGGGACGAAACUUGACGGUACCCACAGAGGAAGCACCGGCUAACUCCGUGCCAGCAGCCGCGGUAAUACGGAGGGUGCAAGCGUUGUCCGGAAUCAUUGGGCGUAAAGAGUUCGUAGGUGGCAUGUUAAGUCUGGUGUUAAAGCCCGAAGCUCAACUUCGGUUCGGCACUGGAUACUGGCAAGCUUGAAUGCGGUAGAGGUAAAGGGAAUUCCUGGUGUAGCGGUGAAAUGCGUAGAUAUCAGGAGGAACAUCAGUGGCGUAAGCGCUUUACUGGGCCGUAAUUGACACUGAGGAACGAAAGCCGGGGUAGCAAAUGGG